UACGUAGGGAGCAAGCGUUGUUCGGAUUUACUGGGCGUAAAGGGCGCGUAGGCGGCGCGGUAAGUCACUUGUGAAAUCUCUGAGCUUAACUCAGAACGGCCAAGUGAUACUGCAGUGCUAGAGUGCAGAAGGGGCAAUCGGAAUUCUUGGUGUAGCGGUGAAAUGCGUAGAUAUCAAGAGGAACACCUGAGGUGAAGACGGGUUGCUGGGCUGACACUGACGCUGAGUGCGCGAAAGCUAGGGGAGCAAACAGG
rnacentral:rRNA from 1 species